ensembl:snRNA U1 U1 spliceosomal RNA
ACACUUACCUGGCAAGGGAGACACCAUGAUCACGAAGAUGGUUUUCCCAGGGUGAGGCUCAUCCAUUGCACUCCGGAUGUGCUGACCCCUGCGAUUUCCCUAAAUGUGGGAAACUGGACUACAUAAUUUGUGGUAGUGGGGGACUGCAUUCGCAAUUUCCCCUG